GACGAACGCUGGCGGCGUGCCUAAUACAUGCAAGUCGAGCGAUGAUUAAAGAUAGCUUGCUAUUUUUAUGAAGAGCGGCGAACGGGUGAGUAACGCGUGGGAAAUCUGCCGAGUAGCGGGGGACAACGUUUGGAAACGAACGCUAAUACCGCAUAACAAUGAGAAUCGCAUGAUGCUUAUUUGAAAGAAGCAAUUGCUUCACUACUUGAUGAUCCCGCGUUGUAUUAGCUAGUUGGUAGUGUAAAGGACUACCAAGGCGGUGAUACAUAGCCGACGUGAGAGGGUGGUGGGCCAGACUGGGAAUGAGACACGGCCCAGACUCAUAAGGGAGGCAGCCGUAGGGAAUCUUCGGGAAUGGGGGCAACCAUGAGCGAGCAACGACGCGUGAGUGAAGAAGGUUUUCGGAUCGUAAUACUCUGUUGUUAGAUAAGAACGUUAAGUAGAGUGGAAAAUUACUUAAGUGACGGUAUCUAACCAGAAAGGGACGGCUAACUACGUGCCAGCCGCCGCCGUAA
rnacentral:rRNA from 1 species